UGUCUGAAUAUGGGGGGACCAUCCUCCAAGGCUAAAUACUCCUGACUGACCGAUAGUGAACCAGUACCGUGAGGGAAAGGCGAAAAGAACCCCUGUGAGGGGAGUGAAAUAGAUCCUGAAACCGCAUGCAUACAAGCAGUGGGAGCCGGCUUAGUCCGGUGACUGCGUACCUUUUGUAUAAUGGGUCAGCGACUUAUAUUCUGUAGCAAGGUUAACCGAAUAGGGGAGCCGAAGGGAAACCGAGUCUUAACUGGGCGUUAAGUUGCAGGGUAUAGACCCGAAACCCGGUGAUCUAGCCAUGGGCAGGUUGAAGGUUGGGUAACACUAACUGGAGGACCGAACCCACUGUCGUUGAAAAGCCAGGGGAUGACUUGUGGAUAGGGGUGAAAGGCUAAUCAAACUUGGUGAUAGCUGGUUCUCCCCGAAAGCUAUUUAGGUAGCGCCUCGGACGAAUACCAUUGGGGGUAGAGCACUGUUUCGGCAAGGGGGUCAUCCCGACUUACCAACCCGAUGCAAACUGCGAAUACCGGAGAAUGUUAUCACGGGAGACACACGGCGGGUGCUAACGUCCGUCGUGAAGAGGGAAACAACCCAGACCGCCAGCUAAGGUCCCAAAGUCAUGGUUAAGUGGGAAACGAUGUGGGAAGGCCCAGACAGCCAGGAUGUUGGCUUAGAAGCAGCCAUCAUUUAAAGAAAGCGUAAUAGCUCACUGGUCGAGUCGGCCUGCGCGGAAGAUGUAACGGGGCUAAACCAUGCACCGAAGCUGCGGCAGCGACGCUGAUGCGUUGUUGGGUAGGGGAGCGUUCUGUAAGCCUGCGAAGGUGUGCUGUGAGGCAUGCUGGAGGUAUCAGAAGUGCGAAUGCUGACAUAAGUAACGAUAAAGCGGGUGAAAAGCCCGCUCGCCGGAAGACCAAGGGUUCCUGUCCAACGUUAAUCGGGGCAGGGUGAGUCGACCCCUAAGGCGAGGCCGAAAGGCGUAGUCGAUGGGAAACAGGUUAAUAUUCCUGUACUUGGUGUUACUGCGAAGGGGGGACGGAGAAGGCUAUGUUGGCCGGGCGACGGUUGUCCCGGUUUAAGCGUGUAGGCUGGUUUUCCAGGCAAAUCCGGAAAAUCAAGGCUGAGGCGUGAUGACGAGGCACUACGGUGCUGAAGCAACAAAUGCCCUGCUUCCAGGAAAAGCCUCUAAGCAUCAGGUAACAUCAAAUCGUACCCCAAACCGACACAGGUGGUCAGGUAGAGAAUACCAAGGCGCUUGAGAGAACUCGGGUGAAGGAACUAGGCAAAAUGGUGCCGUAACUUCGGGAGAAGGCACGCUGAUAUGUAGGUGAAGCGACUUGCUCGUGGAGCUGAAAUCAGUCGAAGAUACCAGCUGGCUGCAACUGUUUAUUAAAAACACAGCACUGUGCAAACACGAAAGUGGACGUAUACGGUGUGACGCCUGCCCGGUGCCGGAAGGUUAAUUGAUGGGGUCAGCGCAAGCGAAGCUCUUGAUCGAAGCCCCGGUAAACGGCGGCCGUAACUAUAACGGUCCUAAGGUAGCGAAAUUCCUUGUCGGGUAAGUUCCGACCUGCACGAAUGGCGUAAUGAUGGCCAGGCUGUCUCCACCCGAGACUCAGUGAAAUUGAACUCGCUGUGAAGAUGCAGUGUACCCGCGGCAAGACGGAAAGACCCCGUGAACCUUUACUAUAGCUUGACACUGAACAUUGAGCCUUGAUGUGUAGGAUAGGUGGGAGGCUUUGAAGUGUGGACGCCAGUCUGCAUGGAGCCGACCUUGAAAUACCACCCUUUAAUGUUUGAUGUUCUAACGUUGACCCGUGAUCCGGGUUGCGGACAGUGUCUGGUGGGUAGUUUGACUGGGGCGGUCUCCUCCUAAAGAGUAACGGAGGAGCACGAAGGUUGGCUAAUCCUGGUCGGACAUCAGGAGGUUAGUGCAAUGGCAUAAGCCAGCUUGACUGCGAGCGUGACGGCGCGAGCAGGUGCGAAAGCAGGUCAUAGUGAUCCGGUGGUUCUGAAUGGAAGGGCCAUCGCUCAACGGAUAAAAGGUACUCCGGGGAUAACAGGCUGAUACCGCCCAAGAGUUCAUAUCGACGGCGGUGUUUGGCACCUCGAUGUCGGCUCAUC
rnacentral:rRNA from 1 species